UGGGGAAUCUUGCACAAUGGGCGAAAGCCUGAUGCAGCGACGCCGCGUGCGGGAUGAAGGCCUUCGGGUUGUAAACCGCUUUCAGCAGGGACGAGGCCGCAAGGUGACGGUACCUGCAGAAGAAGCCCUGGCUAAAUACGUGCCAGCAGCCGCGGUAAUACGUAUGGGGCGAGCGUUGUCCGGAAUUAUUGGGCGUAAAGGGUACGUAGGCGGUUUUUUAAGUCAGGUGUCAAAGCGUGGAGCUUAACUCCAUUAAGCACUUGAAACUGAAAGACUUGAGUGAAGGAGAGGAAAGUGGAAUUCCUAGUGUAGCGGUGAAAUGCGUAGAUAUUAGGAGGAAUACCGGUGGCGAAGGCGACUUUCUGGACUUUUACUGACGCUCAGGUACGAAAGCGUGGGGAGCAAACAGG
rnacentral:rRNA from 1 species